ACCCUCUCAGGAUAGCAUCUGGAGAGUUUCCAGUACUCUAUCAGUCUUGGCUAAGGGAGGGAAAGUCAAGCAGAAGCGUAUCCAUUCCAUUCCUAGCUUGGGAAGUGGCUAGAGAGUGGAAAGCAAUCUGCUAUAAGU